CAUAUACCAAAACCCAAAGCUCUGUAGAGCCAUUUUCCCACACUUUCCCUCAUUUUCCCACCUUCCAAACAGAAGCUAGAAAGAUUUCCAAUGUCGAGUCAGAACGUGUCACGACAAGAUUGGAGAAACUUAGCGCAAUCAAACCAACCGUUUAAUCCACAAGCAACAUGGGAUACCAGUGGUAAUGAAAUACAACUGACCAUGCAACUUUCAGGGUUUUCAAGGGAUCAUUUACGAAUCAAUUUGAACACGAGUACAAAUACUCUUAUAGUUGCGGGACAAAAAUCCGAUGGCUUCAAUGUCACUCGUUUGAAUGAACGCAUACCAAUUAAUGAAGAUUGCUCAUUGGAUGGAGUCCGUGCAAAAUUUCUCAAUAACACUCUUACUGUAAUAUUUAAAAAAAAGAAAAAUUAAUCUCUAUUUCAUCCAAAUGAUCAUGAUUUACCUGAAUAAUAAAGUUUCAACUUUUAUAUAUCUGCACCAAAGUCAGCGUGUAGAGAAUUUGUAUUUAGAAUUGUAAUCAGAUCAUGCGUACAAGUUGACAAUGUUAUUGUAUACAUUGUACUGUAUUGACUUGUAUGUAUCUCGAAAUGAAGAACAAUAUCGUUUGUUAUGUAAAAUAAAAACAUUUGUGAGAAAGCACUUCAAAAAAAAAAAGGUGUGCCAUUCCUUCA